rnacentral:snoRNA from 1 species
AUCCUAUAAUGAGGACACUUACAAAGUAACUCCUUAAAUCGCUCUCAAGCCUCAUGCAAAGACUCGUCAUCCAAUUGCUGGAAAGUUGUGAUCUCGUUCCUCAACUU